AGGGGAGAAGCGUUUGGAAGCAUAGCUGGCUUGAAAUCAGUUAAAGGGGGUUCAAGUCCCUCCUCCCUUG
rnacentral:tRNA from 1 species